GGUAACUGCUCGGCAUACGCGUUCAUUAGAAUUUCCAAUUCCGUGGGGAAAAGUAAGUGGAUCUCCGCUUUUGGUCCAUGUUUGAUCAUGUUAUCAGAGAUCCAUUGAUAAUGGCUCUUUAUAGUUAACAGGCACGCCCCCAACCCAGCGUGAACACACUCCGAGUUGAUUAAGCCAACGCUGAUCGCCUGUUCUGAAACCGAAAACCCAGAGUUGCUUUUCAACCCUGAACUCUGAGUCAACCAACUCAGAGCGCAGGAUUAAACUCAGAGUAUGUUAAACCAGCUACCUGAAACAGGCCUCUGGGCCAUGGAAAGAGACGACUGGUUUGGACAUCGAGGGCUUUCCACGGAAAAAGUACGGCACCGACUGUGGCAUCUUCAUGUUGAUGCAUGUCCUUUACAAAGUGAUGGAUGCACCCUUUGACUUCACUGUUAUUGAUAUGCCGGCAUUGAGAAAAUGGUGGUGUAUCAUGCUGAUCGAAAAUCUUGACCUUGGAAGCCAUGGCAAACUCUUUGCCCACUGGACCGACGCAUCUAAGGCUCUUCUUCGGGGUGAGGUGCAAUGAGUUUUUAAACUGAAGAAGAGAAGGCGAGAUGACAUU